GGAGGGGCGGGGUAGGGCCGGGCCGAGAGAAACCACUGGGGAGGGUCUGGGGUCGGGGCUUUGCCAUCAGUGGUGUGAGGAGCAGGCCGGGGCAGUGGGCAAUUGAGCGAGGAACAGCUGCGGGAGGACUCCGCGGACUCCUGAGAACCAGCUUAGGGGAGCGGCGGCUUGGGGAGGUGUAGGGUGGAAUCACGAGAAAGCUCUGUGGGAGGGCCUGGUGCACAGCUCAGCUGCAGGGUGGAGCUGAGGGAAAGCCGGGCGUUCCUGGAGGAGGAGCAGGGCGAGGCUGUGGCAAAGCGCUGUGGGAGCAGAUGGGGCGGGGCUGCGGGAAAGAGCUGGAGAAGGAGGAGCCAAGCUGCACCAAGGCUGGCGGGUGAGAAUUGCGGGGGAGGAGCUAGUGCAGAGCUGGAGGAAAGAGCUGAAAGGCAAGAGUCCAAACUUUCCCGCGGCGACCUAACUGCACCUCCAGUGUCUUCCCCCAGAGGGCACAGAAGCAGCAAGAAGGGCGGGAACACUUGACUGGGGUCCAUGCAGCUCUAGGCUGAGUCUUGCAGGGCUGAGCCCCCCAGGCCUGCUCUCCUGUGUCCUGGCCGCUCCGUCAGUGCCUGCCAGUGGGGUCCAGAGGGACCGUUUUUUUAACGCCUCUUUUGCAGUCUCCCGCAUUGACUUCAUAACCAAGUUCUGGGUCCCUGCCUCUGGAGUGCCUGAUGAGACAAAACGGCUCCUCGUCCUGCAUCCCCGCUGCUACUUCCAGAAUUCAGGCCUCGUGGUCUGGAGCCUGCACUGUUCCAUGAGCCUCCUGAGCAACCUGGAGUCCUCUGUCUUUCUUCCCUCAGUGAGAUGCGCCUACUUCUCCCUGGAGAAGCUUGAGGAAGCAGAAAUGCUGGAGAUGAGAGACCUCGUCCGCACAGGGGCUUGUUCUUCUGUGUCUUUGCAGGGCUGUUUUGGACUCAGUAUUCACCUAAGCACUCCAAAUUACCCAGCACACCCUGCCUGCAUGGCGCUGCGCUGCACCUUCACUCUGGUCACGGGUCUGGCAGUCAGCUCACCAAUUCCUCCUGCUUCCCUGGGACUUGCCGGCUUUUAGCACUGCAAUUCACUCAGCAAACUGGGACUGUUGGUCACCCUACCUGGCAGCCAGUGAUAAGGUGAGGGCCACUCCUGGGAGGGAGGACACCUGUGGGGAAAAUUCUUGUGUUAUUUAUUUCUCCUUCGGGAUAGGGUGCCUGCAGCGCUUCAUGGGAGGGGGUGGGCUGAUGCUGCGGGCUCAGAAGUUUCAAGGGCAUCUGGGGAGACCAGAUAUUCAGAGACCUUCUAGAUGUGCCUGUUCCAUGUAUCAGGGACGCAGGUUUUCCCAACAGGGCUGGUGUCAUUGGCAUGACAGACCUGCCUUGGCUGAGCGUUCACCUGUCUUUGGAGUUCAGCCACCUUAGCAAGUCCUGGGUUUGUUCUUCAGACUUUGCUGCUCGCCCAUUGCCUGGAUCGGGGGCUACUUUGUAAACCACCAGGAAGACUCCAGUGUUUCUGGUUAAUUUUUAGAUGUUUGUUAAUUGCUCUUGGUCUCUCAUUAAUCCCCUGUGGGUCAUCCAGGAAACAUACUCACCACUGUCUGUUCUCUGAGUUUUCAUUUCCAGGCAUCCGCCCUGCCUGGAUCUCCUCACCUGCCAGGAACUUCCUCUCCACAAGCCGGCCAUCCCAGCAAAAGUUCUAACACCAAAGAUGACUGCCAGGGGCAUGAAGGGGAUGUGCUUCCAGGGCAUUUGCUGGCAGGGCGUCUCGUGAUCUCUUGGUAUUGGUGUGAGCACAGCCUGGCAGGAGAGGGCAGAUCUCCAUGCAAAGUAUGUCAGAAAGCAGAUGGAAGCCAGGCCCCCUCCUGAAAGAGGCUCCUUGAAGGUAGGUGCACACUCAUGUCUUUGUUACUUGUAAGGGGGCAUCUUACAGGCAAGAGGAGUUAGGUGAAUGUGAAGAGGAAGGAACUACUCUGGGCAGGGGGCUGGGGGACGCUUCGUAGAGGAGGGGGUGUUUGAGCUGGGCCUUGAAGGUCAAAAGGGUUUUGUUAGGUGGGAAAUGGGGGAAGGACAGUCUGAAAGGGUUAGGUACAUUCAAGGAGCCCAGAGAAGGUUCGUGGCUGGAGCAGACGCAUUCGUAGAGUGAAGUCAUGGGAGAGAAGAGGCUGGGAAACUAGAUUGGUUCCAACUCCUAAAGGACCACUGAAGGAGUGUGGGCUGCACGCUGGGUGCAGCAGGUGAGUUUCCUCACUUGGGUUUCACUGUCAGCAUUUUAAAAAGGCAAACUGGUUUUCUUCCUGAGAAGAAUUCAUUGAUUCACUUGUGGCCAGUAAGUCAUCUGGGCCAGAGGUUGGUGGGGAGAUGAUAGGGGUGCAAGUGUCAUCUUCAAUCACAGCAUAACUGCCCUUGCUUUCUUACCUCUCGUUUAGAUAUUUCAAUGCUUGCUCAGGUCCCCUGCGCCCUCCUUCCUUCUCCCUUCCCAGCCAUACUACUUAUGGGAUGACUUUCUCUUUGUAAAAUGACCGUUAGUCUUAUCAAAUUAAUCCCAAAGUAAUACCAUCAAUUUCCCCCUAAAAUACCAACAAGACCCCUGCUUGAAACUGCUUGUACAUUAGAGACAGAGAAGAGUCCAUGAGAAUCAACAUUUUCUGAGGACUCCAACUGUGUGCCAAGAGAGUUCCCCUGCUGGUGCCUCCUCUGUAGUAAAGGAAAGGCUCCUGGGACCACAUUAUCAUUCUCUUCACUCGAGAGAUGAGGACACUGAAAUUCAGAGAGGGGAAGUGAUUUGCCUCAGCUUGUACUAAAGAAACAUUUCAACAGAGAACCCAGUGGAAAUUAUGACAUGUUAUCUUCUCAGAGUCCUGAACUCCCAUCCCUACCUCAGAAGAGACUCCUCUGUUCACAGAAGCUAAAGGCAGUUCCUUCCCAAUGGCAACUAUGUUUGGAUGUUGGAUCUACACUUUCUCAAGCACUGUGAUCUUCAAAUCAAAGGAGAUUUCUCCCAUUAUAUACUUCUUAUGAUCAACAAAUUCCAUCAUCUCCCCACUAAGAGAAAGUACUCCAAGAUGAUAGAAUGAUUUUAAAGUUAUGGGACUACAACAGCAGCCACAGGAACCUUGAGUAAGUACCAUGAACCCUGACCCUCAGCGUUAAUUUGUAAGCCUUUGGCAGUGAGAUGGAAUGUCUUCCUUCAGUUUGAAACAAAGGAAACCUAUUGCAUCGCACGUAAAUUUGUAUAUUGAUGCUAUAUUGACUUUGUAGCUGCCAUGCCUUCAUACAGACACCUCAUCCAGCCCCCACUGUUCCACUUAUUGUGAUGGUUUGUAUAUCUUUAUUUCAAAGAAGAUCUGUUUGAACCGUGUUUAAUUUCUUCUUUGACCUGCUUUCAUCACUGCCCAUGCCUACCCUGGUGGCAUUCUCAUCCACGAGACUACCACAUCCAUGCCACUAGGUGGCAUUCUCAUCCAUGAGACUACUGCACCCGUGCGCACGUCAAGAAGUAGCCAAGCCAUGGGCUGGAUUGUGCUUUUCCUGAGAGGAUGAAAGGCUUCAUGGAUACAUGCUAGUAUCCAUGUUCCUCUAUUCUCAAGUCAGGCACCAAGAUGAUGUUUCAUACCUGCCUGCCUUUCAAAGUCUCAUAAAUGUUCAUUGAAUAUCCACUCUAUGCAAGGCACUAGGGUAGUCACAGAGGCAAGGUUUGAGCUAAACUACAGGCCCUGCCCUCCAGGAGCUCCCGGUCUCAUGGCAGGGUGCAGAAGCCAGAAUAGAGGGCCAUGGCAUGGGAGAGAACUCUGCUGACCGGGAGCUCUGAAGGGUUAGGGGUCCAUGAGCCUGAUUUAUGGGGUCGUUGCCAUAGGAUUAGGGGCUCCCUGGCAUACAGUGAAUGGAGAGACUAGCAUUGCUGUGUUAUUUCACUGAGAGGGCACCAAUGUUCAGCCUCUGAGACCAGGGGAGGAAAGCAGUGGCCAUGAAUGUUCCCUCCCAUCCCGGGGACUGACUGGGCUCCUCCCACAGUCUCAGACACAGAGGAAGAAGUGUACUCACACUGCCCCAACACCAGUGAGUGGAAAUAUUUAUAGGUCUCUCAUUUGGUUUUAAUUUUUAUUUUUUUAUUUUUCAGAAAUUAAAAAAAAAAUCACACUCACAAAAUUAACCAUUACCCACAUUCCUACCAACAAGAAGUAACCAUUCUUAACCUUGUAAUAUGUUGGUUUCCAGAUUUAUGUUUAUGCUUUAAAAAAUUAUGCAGACAACAUAUUAGCACAUUGCCCCUUUUCUCAUUUGUUUUAAUCCAUGUUCUUCCCAUUUAUACAGGAGCAAUUCUUGCAUUCAGUUAUGGGAUACUAUAAAUGCCUAGUAUAAUGGCAGCAGAGAGAAUUACUAUGGUUGUAUACCUUUUCUCGCUCCUUGCUCCUCAAAUGCCUUAGAGUUUAAAAUCUAUUGUGGAAAGUUUGUGAAAUGCAGAACGGUGAAAAUAAACAAAUUACCAGUGGUUCUUUGGCUUCGGGAGAACUGUAAUUGAUGUUCAUUUUGGUAUAUUUCCCUCCAGUAUUUUUUCCAUAUGGUUUUAUUUUUAAAAAUUUUACCCCAUAUAUAUAUACAUAUAUAUAUACAUACUAAC
rnacentral:lncRNA from 1 species